rnacentral:sRNA from 1 species
UUUUUUUGAGGGUCUCACAACAGCAGGAGGAUCAGUAUUUGUGGGAGUGUGAGUGAGUAGGUAGUGGGGGGGGCACGCUUUAAGCUGCCGCUGUUGAUCGUUGCCGUUACUGACGAUGAGGUCACGAGCGUCGCUUGCUGUUUGUUUGUUCACUGCUGUCAAACCACAUCCACUUGGGAAUUGGGAUUCGGCGGUGCUGGGUUCUUUUGCUGGAGUACCGCCAACGCCACAUACGGACGACACACUGGCGGGGUCACCGCGAGCUCACGGCGUUCCCAGGUGCGUGUUAGAGUGUGCAAGCACUUAGCCUAGUUCGUUGGGUCUUAAUUUAGUAAAUUUUGUAAGUUUUGCUUCAGUGCUUCAGGUGCGCAGCACAGUUCCAGAGGUAAGAUCAGGAUUAAACAAAGUCCUCCUAGUGGGGGCUCCGGUGGUAUCGGUGCGUGGUGACUUGGAUGGGUAUUGGCCUUGGUUCUCGGUUCGGCUUGGCUCAAUGCUGCGCGGCGCGAUUCAGCAUGCAACAGUUGCACGGGAACUGGCUUUGGCUUUGGCACGGGGCACGGGCAAGGGCACUGGCACUGACACAGGAACAAGCACGGCACAGGCACAUAGUCUUCUGGCCUGGGCCGAUGGAGGCAGCAACGAAAAUCUAUGGGGCUUGUUCAAUGUUUUCGACUUUUCAUUUGUUGUACAUUUUUACGAUACCUUUUCACACACACACACUGGCAAGCGCGCGCACACACACACGCGAAACACACACUGAUAUGUAUACGUAUACAAAUACAAACACACUUUUUUUCGUCGGAACGUCGAACGUAGCAAAAGCAAAUGCUACAACAACAAUAACAAGGCACGGUGAACACCGACGUGCGUCACUCAAAGGGAGACGAGGGCGGCAAAAAGGCGCCUAUUUUGUCCGCCAAUUUGGCAAUUUCUCGGACUUGGCUGCGGCCAAAUCAAUCAAUUAUCAAAAUUAAUUUUAAUUAGACGCUACGCGUUGCACUUCUUUCAAUGUUAGCCUGCAACAGUUGCGCGGAUGUUGAUUAGAGUUGUUUCGGUCCAAAUUGAACCAGUUCAAUAGAUCGCGGCUCGAUAACGUCCCAGUAAUCGGAACACACAAAUCGACACUGGAGUUGCUUACACAGCCAUGUAUUUGGGGUAGAACGAAUGCGAACCGGAACUGGAACCGUGUGACCAGCUCAAAAGAAACCAGAUCGAUUACCCUAGUCAAUCACAAAGACGUGUUGCAGCAAUGUAUUUUGAUUAUCGUGGUUUGUUUAAUUCGAUUUUCAAUAUUGUCUUUGGCCUUAUAUUUAUCACAAAAAAUGUCAAAGGCCCAUCCUCUGGAGCUGCAAAAAAGUACAUGGACAAGCGGAUGAUGCUGAAGUUGAGUGGAGGACGCUCCAUCACCGGCAUACUCCUUUGAAUGGCUAUAGACGAAGCCGUUGAGGUGUGCAAGGACAACACGAAAACCACCAUCACAUCGGAAUGUUGGGAAGAUAGAUAUAUUGUCUGGUACCAAUCUUAUAAGCUUGCAUAAAUUCCCACACGCUUCAGAAAUGAAUGGUGUGCAUGGCUGGAGUCUAAUUUCUGGUAAUACGCGGCAACAGCAUUGUCAUGGUCGAAGCAUAAGGCAGGAUCUAACGCACCGACUCCACUGUAUACCUUCAGAAAUACCGGCUAAAUCUGCCGGUAUUGCACUUGAGCAAUAAUUUAUAGUAUUCAUUUUUGUGCAAGCAUAACUCACUGUAUACCUUCAAAAAUCGUAACUAAAUUAAGACAAACCUACAUGUGUA